AACUCUCAACCCCCUCAUUUUGUAAUGAAAUGCAGCGUGGGCUUGGAUUAUGGCUGCCUGCCGGCUUAACUGCCGACUCAGCUGAAAUAUACGAGCAACCCAGUUUAAAAACCUGACGGCUUGACUCGGCGUAAUAACUAUUUCGCUGAGGACGUCUACCUUUCAAAUCGUUAGUGGUGCUUCUAAUGCAUUUAUAACUUUAAGC
rnacentral:misc_RNA from 1 species